GGACGAACGCUGGCGGCGUGCCUAAUACAUGCAAGUCGAACGGUCUUUCUAUGGAAGCUUGCUUCCACUGAGAAGAUAGUGGCGAACGGGUGAGUAACACGUGGGUAACCUGCCCAUAAGAGGGGGGAUAACAUCCGGAAACGGGUGCUAAUACCGCAUAGUUUUCUUGAUCGCAUGAUCGGGAAAGGAAAGACGGCCUUUGUGCUGUCGCUUAUGGAUGGACCCGCGGCGUAUUAGUUAGUUGGUGAGGUAACGGCUCACCAAGACGAUGAUACGUAGCCGACCUGAGAGGGUGAUCGGCCACAUUGGGACUGAGACACGGCCCAAACUCCUACGGGAGGCAGCAGUAGGGAAUCUUCCGCAAUGGACGAAAGUCUGACGGAGCAACGCCGCGUGAGUGAAAGAAGGUUUUCGGAUCGUAAAACUCUGUUGUCAGAGAAGAACAAGUUGGAGAGUAACUGCUCCAGCCUUGACGGUAUCUGACCAGAAAGCCACGGCUAACUACGUGCCAGCCGCGGC
rnacentral:rRNA from 1 species